CAAGGCAUGCCCAUCAGGAUGCCCUUUGGGCCUAGACCUGAUGUGAGAAUGAUGGGCUUGGAGUGUUCUGGAAAUAGCUGGGAGGCCUGUGUGUUUAGGAGCACCUUAAACAGUAGGAUAUAAGGGCAGAGAAGUAGCUGGGAACUGAGAAAAGAACUUUGGCUGUUAUUCUAGUAAGACUGAAAAUUUCAGGUGGGAUUUGAACAGAGAUGUGUUGUGAUCUGACUUGGUGGUUCAUUCUGCUAUGGUGAAGAGACUGGAGGUGAGGGGCAAGUAUGGAAGCAUGGAGACCAUUAAUUUGUGGGGGCAAUGGUAGAGGGAAGAGAAACAAUGCUAUUAACUGGAGUAGGAGCACACAGAGAACAAGCUAUGUUUUAAGAUUUCUAAUGAAAUGUGCAGAUGAGAUUGUUGGGUAAGCUGUUAAGAAUUGGAUUUUGGCUCUCCCUCUCCCUCUCCCUCCUCUCCCUCUCCCUCUCCCUCUCCCUCCUCUCCCUCUCCCUCUCCCUCCUCUCCCUCUCCCUCUCUUUCCACGGUCUCCCUCUCCCUCUCUUUCCACGGUUUCCACGGUCUCCCUCUCCCUCUCUUUCCACGGUCUCCCUCUCAUGCCAAGCCGAAGCUGGACUGUGCUGCUGCCAUCUCGGCUCACUGCAACCUCCCUGCCUGAUUCUCCUGCCUCAGCCUGCCGAGUGCCUGCGAUUGCAGGCGUGCGCCGCCACACCUGAUGGGUUUUCGUACUUUUUUGGUGGAGACGGGGUUUCGCUGUGUUGGCCGGGCUGGUCUCCAGCUCCUAACCGUGAGUGAUCCGCCAGCCUCGGCCUCCCGAGGUGCCGGGAUUGCAGACGGAGUCUUGUUAACUCAGUGCUCAAUGGUGCCCAGGCUGGAGUGCAGUGGCGUGAUCUCGGCUACAACCUCCACUUCCCAGCCGCCUGUCUUGGCCCCCCAAAGUGCCGAGAUUGCAGCCUCUGCCCGGCCGCUACCCCGUCUGGGAAGUGAGGAGCGUCUCUGCCUGGCCGCCCAUCGUCUGGGAUGUGAGGAGCCCCUCUGCCUGGCUGCCCAGUCUGGAAAGUGAGGAGUGUCUCUGCCCGGCCGCCAUCCCAUCUAGGAAGUGAGGAGCGUCUCUGCCCGGCCGCCCAUCGUCUGAGAUGGGAGCGCCUCUGCCCCGCCGCCCCGUCUGGGAGAUCAUUAAGCAGCUUCGAGUCUGGAAAAUUUGUUGAAUGUACUGAGCAAUUAGAAUUGUUACCAGGAGAAAAUAUCAAUCUACUUGCUGGAGGAUCAAAAGAAAAAAUAGACAUGAAAAACCUGCUUCGUAACAUGUUAAGUCCAGAUCCAAGGGAACCUCAGAAAUCCAUUGAAGUUCAAUUGUUAAGAAGUUCUGUUUGUUUGGCAACUGCUUUAAACCCGAUAGAACAAGAUCAGAAGUGGCAGUCUAUAACUGAAAAUGUGGUAAAGUACUUGAAGCAAACAUCCCGCAUCGCUGUUGGACCUCUGAGACUUUCUACUUUAACAGUUUCACAGUCUUUGCCAGUUCUAAGUACCUUGCAGCUGUAUUGCUCACCUGCUUUGGAGAACACAGUUUCUAACAGACUUUAAACAGAGGACUGUCUUAUUCCACUCUUCGGUGAAGCUUUACGUUCAUGUAAACAGCAUGAUGUGAGGCCAUGGAUGCAGGCAGUAAGGUUUAUAUUACACAUUCUAAGUGUAUGGUUUGAUGAGUUCUAACAUGUCUUCACUUGUGUGACCACCAAUACGAUUGAGAUACAGAACACCGUCUUACCCCAGAAGGUUCCCUUGGGAUCAUCUCCUCAUUUGGCCCUGUCAGCAGUUACUCAUUUGCUUUCUGUCACUAUGGAUUAGACUUGUCUUUACUAAAGUUUCAUGUACGUGAAAUCAU
ensembl:lncRNA SMG1P7 SMG1 pseudogene 7